rnacentral:rRNA from 1 species
GAUGAACGCUAGCGGCAGGCCUAAUACAUGCAAGUCGAACGGGAUCCAGAUCAAAGCUUGCUUUGGUCUGGUGAGAGUGGCGCACGGGUGCGUAACGCGUGAGCAACCUACCCUUGUCAGGGGGAUAGCCCGGCGAAAGUCGGAUUAAUACCGCAUGACAUCAUUGAGAGGCAUCUUUCGAUGAUCAAAGAUUUAUCGGACAAGGAUGGGCUCGCGUGACAUUAGCUAGUUGGUAAGGUAACGGCUUACCAAGGCUGCGAUGUCUAGGGGCUCUGAGAGGAGAAUCCCCCACACUGGUACUGAGACACGGACCAGACUCCUACGGGAGGCAGCAGUAAGGAAUAUUGGUCAAGGGACGGAAGUCUGAACCAGCCAUGCCGCGUGCAGGAGGACGGCCCUAUGGGUUGUAAACUGCUUUUAUACGGGAACAAACGUCGGUACGUGUACCGGUCUGAGUGUACCGUAAGAAUAAGGAUCGGCUAACUCCGUG